rfam:Triticum aestivum genome assembly, contig: Triticum_aestivum_CS42_TGACv1_scaffold_513376_6BS
UUUAUACUCCCUCCGUCCCAAAAUUCUUGUUUUAGUAUUAGAUACAUCCGUAUCUAGACGAAUCUAAGACAAGAAUUUUGAGACGGAGGGAGUAUAUA